UCCAGGCACGGUAAUGCAUGCCUGUAGUCCCAGCUACUAGGGAGGCUGAGGCUGGAGGAUUGCUUGAGUCCAGGAGUCCUGGGUUGUAGUGCUGUUAUGCCGAUCUGGUGUCUGUACUAAGUUCUGCAGCAAUAUGGUGACCUCCCUGGAGUGGGGGACCACCAGGUUGCCUAAGGAGGAUUGAAUUGCCCCAGGUCAGAAACAGAGUAGGUCAAAACCCUGUGCUGAUCAGUAGUGAGACUGCAUCUAUGAAUAGCCACUGCACACCAGCCUGGGCAACAUAGCAAGAUCCUGUUGCU
rnacentral:SRP_RNA from 1 species